GACGAACGCUGGCGGCGUGCUUAACACAUGCAAGUCGAACGGAAAGGCCCUGCUUUUGUGGGGUGCUCGAGUGGCGAACGGGUGAGUAACACGUGAGUAACCUGCCCUUGACUUUGGGAUAACUUCAGGAAACUGGGGCUAAUACCGGAUAGGAGCUCCUGCUGCAUGGUGGGGGUUGGAAAGUUUCGGCGGUUGGGGAUGGACUCGCGGCUUAUCAGCUUGUUGGGGGGGUAGUGGCUUACCAAGGCUUUGACGGGUAGCCGGCAUGAGAGGGUGACCGGCGACAUUGGGACUGAGGUACGGCCCAGACUGCUACGGGAGGCAGCAGUGGGAAGUAUUGCAGAGUGGGCGGAAGCCAGAUGCAACAACGCCGCGUGCGGGAUGACGGCCUUCGGGUUGUGAACCGCUUUCGCCGGUGCCGAAGCGUGAGUGACGGUAAUGGGUAAAGAAGCACCGGCUAACUACGUG
rnacentral:rRNA from 1 species